GUGGGGAAUAUUGGACAAUGGGGGGAACCCUGAUCCAGCCAUGCCGCGUGUGUGAAGAAGGCCUUUUGGUUGUAAAGCACUUUAAGCGAGGAGGAGGCUACCGAGAUUAAUACUCUUGGAUAGUGGACGUUACUCGCAGAAUAAGCACCGGCUAACUCUGUGCCAGCAGCCGCGGUAAUACAGAGGGUGCAAGCGUUAAUCGGAUUUACUGGGCGUAAAGCGCGCGUAGGUGGCCAAUUAAGUCAAAUGUGAAAUCCCCGAGCUUAACUUGGGAAUUGCAGUCGAUACUGGUUGGCUAGAGUAUGGGAGAGGAUGGUAGAAUUCCAGGUGUAGCGGUGAAAUGCGUAGAGAUCUGGAGGAAUACCGAUGGCGAAGGCAGCCAUCUGGCCUAAUACUGACACUGAGGUGCGAAAGCAUGGGGAGCAAACAGGAUUAGAUACUCCGGUAGUCC
rnacentral:rRNA from 1 species